rnacentral:lncRNA from 1 species
GUCGAGACAUUGGACAUGCGACAUUUUGGAUCCAGCGGACUUGAAGCCCAAGUCCAAGCUAAAUUAUGAAAAUGCCCUGACGAGUUUUUAACCUAGUAGAUUAUAUACUGCCUAAGUGUUUUGACGGCAGAGAGAGCUUUUUGUUACAGUUUUACUUUGAGAGAGAGAGAGAGAGAGAGUUUUGGAGAGAAGAUCACUUGUGAUUGG